rnacentral:rRNA from 1 species
UACGUAGGGUGCAGGCGUUAAUCGGAAUUACUGGGCGUAAAGCGUGCGCAGGCGGUUUGCUAAGACAGGUGUGAAAUCCCCGGGCUUAACCUGGGAACUGCGCUUGUAACUGGCAAGCUAGAGUGUGGCAGAGGGGGGUGGAAUUCCACGUGUAGCAGUGAAAUGCGUAGAGAUGUGGAGGAACACCGAUGGCGAAGGCAGCCCCCUGGGCUAACACUGACGCCCAUGCACGAAAGCGUGGGGAGCAAACAGG